rnacentral:ncRNA from 2 species
CUUUAAAAUUUAAUAUUUACUCGUAUAAGUUUGAUAAUAGGGUUCAAACGUUUCUACAAACUACCUUAAAUAGUUACAGGCUACGGGUUCGGUAAAAUUUGAG